UGACCUCAAAUCAGUAGAACCCAGUCGGUGAACUUAAGCAUAUCAAUAAGCGGAGGAAAAGAAACUAACAAGGAUUCCCCUAGUAACUGCGAGUGAAGCGGGAAAAGCUCAAAUUUAAAAUCUGGUGGUCUUUUGCCCAUCCGAGUUGUAAUUUAGAGAAGCGUCUUCCGCGCUGGACCGUACACAAGUCUCCUGGAACGGAGCGUCAUAGAGGGUGAGAAUCCCGUCUUUGGUACGGA
rnacentral:rRNA from 1 species